UAGUCCGAGGAACAGUAGUGAGAAAACAUCAAUUCAGGCCAACAACUUUCUCUCCUCAAUUCGUUUUCAAAUCCUUCCUGCUAUUUAUUUUUGAGACAGAUUCUUAUGCUCUCACUCAGGCUGGAGUGUACUGAUGUGAUCUCGGCUCACUGCAACCUCUGUCUCCUGGGUUCAAGCGAUUCUCCUGCCUCAGCCUCCUGAGUAGCCACAAUUACAGGCAUGCGCCACCAUGCCUGGCUAAUUUUUGUAUUUUUAGUAGAGACAGGGUUACACCAUGUUGGCCAGGCUUCUCUCGACCUCCUGACCUCAGGUGAUCCACCCACCUCGGCCUCCCGAAGUGCUGGGAUUACAGGCGUGAGCCACCACACCCAGCCUCCUUCCUGCUAUUAUAACUUCAAAAGAUUAUAACAAAUUAUCCUUCUUUUGUGAAUGCAUGUGUUACAGGAUGAGACACUAAUUUGUGCUGUUUCCCUGUGGUUUUCCUACCUCCAAUGAGAAAGCCUCAUUGAUAUUUCUAUUACAGAGCCUGAAGCAGAUGCUACCUUGUGGACACCUUAAUUCUAACCUUAGAUCCUAAAGCCCAUGUUUAUUGAAAGUUGAUGUUGAUCUUUACCAGACAGGCGAGGAAAGCAGCUACUUCCCUUGCACGGAAGAAGAAACCAAGGCAAGGGGAAAUGGGAGAUUUGCAGGACUGCAAGGGUGAGUCCACUUGGACCACCAUCUCUUCUUUUUUGCAGGAUGAAGGGAAAGGCCUGGAAGAGAAUGGAUCUCAAGAGAAUGACUGUACCACUAAGGCUUGAACAAAAUCCCAGAAUCCAACCUGGGCCCCACUGCAGCAGCCACAAAUUCUGCUUUACUGGACAAGGAGCCCAUCACCAGUGACUUAAACAGAUGACCAGAGGUCCUGUUCCUCUGUUUAGCUGGCACAAGCCCUUGAAUCUGCACAUGAAUUGGGGAUUAACAUGCACGGAUAUUGUUGGAGCAUCAUCACCUUGCUACGCUGAGUGCUACUAUGACAAAAGCUGACAGUUUAGUAGGAAUGGUGAUGUCUCUGCAAUGAAGAUACCACGUAAGAUUCCUGUAUAAUUUAAGCACCGCACCGAUGAAGUUGAAUGGUAAGUUGGUUAAAAAGCAAUUACAUCACAGGAAUUUCUUUCAUUGUGUUUUAUCUCACUGGCAACAGCCCACCACAUUUGCUAAUGCUUGAGUUUGGGUUAAUGAAUUUGACUCACAGGAAUUGAUAAGGGCAGGGUUAAGGUAGAUUUGUGUAAUAGAUAAAUGAUGCUGAUUUAAUUAUUCCUCCGUUUUCCAUACAGAGCAUACUUUCAAAAUCUCCUUUACCACCUUCUGAAUUAUAAGGCCAUAAAUAAUUCAGUGGUGCCUUUACAUGAAUUCCUAUUUUGUUUAUUGUGACAACAUGUGAAUAGAUUUACAGAUAUGGGCAGAGCAGGUUAUUGCCCGGUCCAUAGGCAAAGCAUGAGAGGUGUGAAGGAGAGUGCCUGGAGGUUCUCAGGCCCUGCACGGUGAAGCCAGGCUCCCCAGCUUCCAGCCUUGGCUUCUCUCUUGCUAUCUGUGGGAUCGUUACCGCAUACACGAGCCAUUUAAUUUCUUCUGACGUCGGAUUUUUUUCAGCUGUAAAUGCAGGAAUUAGUUACAUCGAUGGCUUCCAAACCUGGCUUAUCAGAGUCACUCAGCAAGCUUUUAGGAAACAUGGAUUCUCUGAUUCUCUGAAAUUCUUAUUCAGGGUGUAGUGAAGAACUCACCCUACCUAAAGGAGGUCUGGCCUUUAUCAUCAGCUACUGGGAAGUGACAUGUUGGCCACUAGGAUGUCCUGCAUGAUAGAAGUGUCUUUGUUUGGAGCUUUGGCAAAGUGACUUACGAUAGGGACUUUCAGGCACACAAUAUUAUUUUCAACUUUUGGAGAAACUGGCAACAAAAGGUAUUUAGCCCAGACCUCCAGAAGGGGAGGAAGAAUGAAAGUUAGCCACACAGGCAGUGUGUGAGGGAGCCAGGUCACAGGGGCGGGAGCCCACUUCCUUGGCUGGCCGUACCCUGUGGUGCCCCCUCACAGAUGCCGGGAGGGCAUGCGCCUCUUUCUGCGGCUGUCUCUAAUUCUAAUUUAUAUCCUUCAUCUGUAGCAAACCUUACUGUGAGGACAAUAGCUUUCACAGAGUUCUGUGAGUCCAGUGAAUUAUCAAACUUAAGAGCAGAUGCGGAGACCGUCGAAUUUGUAGUCAACUGGUCUCAAGUGAGGAUGGUCCCCAGACUUCUGGCUCAUGUGUGCAGGGAGGGCAAUCUUAAAGGGAUUGUUUCCUUAGAUUUUUGUUUGCCUCACCCAUUGUAGCCUGUGUAUUUUAAAGAAGCUGGAGAUUGUUAAUAAAAGUUUGCCAGGCACAGUGGCUCACACCUGUAAUCCCAGCACUUUGAGGCAGAGGCAGAAAAAUCGCUUAAGCCCAGGAGUUUGAGACCAGCCUAUUGCCUGGGCAACAUAGCAAGACCCUGUCUCUACUAAACAAAUACAUUUUUUAAAAAUUAAAAACCCAAAAGUUUGAAAGGUAUUGCAGGCCAUAUGACAUCAAAAGUUUCUUUCCAUGUCUAAACUUUAUUUUUUUGAUCUAUUUUAUCUAUUUGCUUAUGCAUUUGUUUUAUAUUUAAACCUGAAGUGCGGAAAGCUGGGUGAUCCAUAUUCCUUAAUUUAUGGAACAUUAUCAUUUUUGGUCCCUGCAAAAAAUUGUGCCUUGAUUUUGUUUUGUUUUGUUACUCUUUAUCCCAGGUUGACAUUCUCAUUUCAGCGUGUUGUAUGUUCUUGUGUACGCAUGUAUUCUUGGACGUAUACAUCACAUAGCAUUGAUUGAGGUUCAUGAGUUUUUAUUUCACAUAAACAAUAUGGCAUUAUAGAACCUUGUUUAUGAUGAGUUCAUUCAGUACUAUGUAUUCAGAUGGGUUCCGGUUCUUGUGUUAUAUGUAAUUCACUUUUGGCAUGCCUGCAAAGCCCUCCACGAAUGCAUUCAUCACAUUUGCUUAUCAUUGCUCUAGUGUUCAACAUGUGAGUUGUCUCAAAUUAUCCACUACAUCAUAUGACAUCAGGAUGAACAUUGCUGUCCGUGCCUUUUUAUGGGCCUGGGUAAGGGUUACUCUGAGACACACAACCAGGAGUGGGAUCUGGGACACAGUGGCCAUGUAUACUUAAUUUCACCAAGGACUUUGCAGGAGUUGUAACAAUUUACACCAACAGUGCAUGAAGAUUCUUAGACUGCCACACUCUUGCUAAUUUGGUACUAUCCUACUUUUUAAUUUUCACUUAACUGAUUAAUUUCCCCUCUGAAUAACUAGUUCAUAACCUUAGCCCAAUUUUCCAUUGAAUUUUUUUUUAUCUUUUUGUUGUUGAAUUGUAGGAGUUCCUUGUAUUAUAAACAGGUUUCACUAUUGCAAAUAUCUUGUCUGAAUCUGCCUCUAGUCUAUAAAAUUUGUAUACGGCAUCUUUCAUUUAACAGACAUUCUCGAUUUUGAAUCGUUAAAUCCAUCAGUGCCUUUCCUUACGAUUUGUCUUCCUGGGGUCAUGUGUAAGAAACCAUUUCCAACUCAGAGUCACUGAGGUAUUCUCUAUUGUCUUUAUAGUUUUAUCUUCUACUGUUAAGUCUUUAAAUAGUGGUGGUAAAUAUUUAACUUUAUUUUUGAGUCAGUUUUCCUGCAUCAUUUAUUAUUAAACAAUCUAAUCUCAACCACUGACUAUGAUGCUCUUUGAUAAUAUACACCAGGUUCCCUCAAUGGGUCAUGUAAACACUUGAGGCUUUUAGUGAUUUUUCUAUUUUCUUCAUACUUUUUGUUUCUGUGCCAUAUUUGUAUUAAUAUGACUUUCAGUAAUUCUUAGUAUGUAAUAUGGUGAAAAUCCACACUUUGCUUCUCUUCUGGUCUUUUAGUUUUUAAUUUUUUUCUUAAAUUUUUUUUUUUUUUUAAACAGAGACAGGGUCUCAGUCUGUCUCCCAGGUUGAAAGUGCUGGAGUGCAGUGGUGAGAUCACUGCUCACUGCAGCCUUGACCUGUUGGGCUCAAGAGAUCCUCCCACCUCAGCAUCCCAAGUAGCUGGGACUACAGGCAUGCAUGAGGUCUCACAAUAUUGCUGAGGGUGGUCUUGAACUCCUGGCCUCAAGUGAUCCUCCUGCCUCAGCCUCUGAAAGUGCUGGGAUUAUAGCCAUGAGCCACCAUACCUGGCCUUAAUUUAAAUUUCAAAAUAAGCUUGUAGUAUUUUGUUUAAAAUUAUCUUGUAAUUUAGAUUGGAUUUACAACAAAGAUUGUACCAUUUGAUUUUUAUUUGUUUAUAGCUUUUUGCUGUAGAAAAUCCUAUUCAGGUCUUGAACUCUUGAACUCAAGUAAUCCUCCCGCUUCAGCCUCCCAAAGUGCUAGGAUUACAGGCGUGAGCCACAACGUGCAGCCAAAAAUCAUAUUCUGAAGUUAAUAAUAAUUUUGUCUCUUCCCUUUCUAUUGAUAUGCUUCUUAAUUCUUUGGCUCAUCUUAUUUCUUUGGCUGUAUCUUCCCUCCAUUACCUUCCAUACUGGAGGUGACAGUAACCACUCUCUGUGUUCUUAAGUGGGUUUAAUAGGUCUCCACUGAGUACUAUGCCUGCUAUUGGUUUUGGGAUAUAGUCUUUAUCAAGUUAUAAUAUUUCUUUCUAUUCCUGGUCCC
rnacentral:lncRNA from 10 species